AGAACGGAUUCCGGUUGAAGAUGUGUUCGAGCAGCUGAAAUACAUAAGAAGAGGUUUGACAUCUGAGGAAGGAGCCAACCGGCUCCAAAUUUUCGGCCCAAACAAAUUUCAAGGGAAAAAGAAACUUCAGAAAAGGAUGAGUAGAAAAGAACUCUGGACAUUUUUUAAUACAGGAGAAAGAACUAUUGCCAUUUUUGUCGAAGAGACGAGGAUCGAGUGGAGCAAGCAUAUGCUUGA